CGAAGAUGAUCUUCUGUGGUAGGGCGUCGCCGGCGGCGGCGGCACCUGUAUAGACCGUCUCGGUGUGACAGAAGAGUUCGGAGUUCACUCCGAGAAAGAAUUGCUUUGCAUGUACAUUUGCUGAAAGACUGAUGUGCUGAACUUUCGAUGAUUUCGAUUGGUAUUCAACUUGAGGAAUUUCAUACUUUUGGAGUGGAGCUAUCAAAUAUAUGUGUGCUCGAUGUUGGUGUUUUAAUCCGGAUCUCUUGCUGAAGGUGCUCGAUGUUGGUGUUUGAAUACUGCUACCGUACUUCAAGUCUAUGAAGAAUUGCAAGGAGGAGGAUAAUAGAGCAGCAACCAGAGCUGACAAUUGGCCUGUAAAUGCAGCAAAGUUCUCCUAGAGGUAGCGGGGCGCUUGAGGUGAGGUGGCUGCAGGGUCGCUCGAGAAGAACAGGCUCAUAAGCACCACCUGGAUGCCUUCGUCAUCAGCAAUGUGGACAAGGUAAAGUGGGAUGGCGGGAUUGUAUAGUGCUCAUAAGCCAGUCCGGGCAUUGUCCUUCCUCGAAUGAAUCUGAGACUACUCCUCAUAUGUUAAUCAGUUGCUCCUCCCUAGCUUUGGUUUGGUCUGAACUUCAAAGUUUUCAUCC